rnacentral:rRNA from 1 species
CCUACGGGGGGCAGCAGUGGGGAAUAUUGGACAAUGGGCGAAAGCCUGAUCCAGCCAUGCCGCGUGUGUGAAGAAGGCCUUCGGGUUGUAAAGCACUUUCAGUGGGGAAGAAAGCCUUGGGGCUAAUACCCUCGAGGAAGGACAUCACCCACAGAAGAAGCACCGGCUAACUCCGUGCCAGCAGCCGCGGUAAUACGGAGGGUGCGAGCGUUAAUCGGAAUUACUGGGCGUAAAGCGCGCGCAGGCGGUCUUGUAAGCCGGUUGUGAAAGCCCCGGGCUCAACCUGGGAACGGCAUCCGGAACUGUCAGGCUAGAGUGCAGGAGAGGAAGGUAGAAUUCCCGGUGUAGCGGUGAAAUGCGUAGAGAUGUGGAGGAAUACCAGUGGCGAAGGCGGCCCUCUGGACUGACACUGACGCUGAGGUGCGAAAGCGUGGGUAGCAAACAGGAUUAGAUACCCGAGUAGUC